GACGAACGCUGGCGGCGUGCCUAAUACAUGCAAGUUGAGCGCUGAAGGUUGGUACUUGUACCAACUGGAUGAGCAGCGAACGGGUGAGUAACGCGUGGGGAAUCUGCCUUUGAGCGGGGGACAACAUUUGGAAACGAAUGCUAAUACCGCAUAAAAACUUUAAACACAAGUUUUAAGUUUGAAAGAUGCAAUUGCAUCACUCAAAGAUGAUCCCGCGUUGUAUUAGCUCGUUGGUGAGGUAAAGGCUCACCAAGGCGAUGAUACAUAGCCGACCUGAGAGGGUGAUCGGCCACAUUGGGACUGAGACACGGCCCAAACUCCUACGGGAGGCAGCAGUAGGGAAUCUUCGGCAAUGGACGAAAGUCUGACCGAGCAACGCCGCGUGAGUGAAGAAGGUUUUCGGAUCGUAAAACUCUGUUGGUAGAGAAGAACGUUGGUGAGAGUGGAAAGCUCAUCAAGUGACGGUAACUACCCAGAAAGGGACGGCUAACUACGUG
rnacentral:rRNA from 1 species